rnacentral:rRNA from 1 species
AACGAACGCUGGCGGCAUGCCUAACACAUGCAAGUCGAACGAGAUCUUCGGGUCUAGUGGCGCACGGGUGCGUAACGCGUGGGAAUCUGCCCUUUGGUUCGGAAUAACAGUUGGAAACGACUGCUAAUACCGGAUGAUUACGAAAGUCCAAAGAUUUAUCGCCAGAGGAUGAGCCCGCGUAGGAUUAGCUAGUUGGUGUGGUAAGAGCGCACCAAAGCGACGAUCCUUAGCUGGUCUGAGAGGAUGAUCAGCCACACUGGGACUGAGACACGGCCCAGACUCCUACGGGAGGCAGCAGUGGGGAAUAUUGGACAAUGGGCGAAAGCCUGAUCCAGCAAUGCCGCGUGAGUGAUGAAGGCCUUAGGGUUGUAAAGCUCUUUUACCCGGGAUGAUAAUGACAGUACCGGGAGAAUAAGCUCCGGCUAACUCCGUGCCAGCCGCCGCCGUAA